AGAAGUAUACUCACUCGAUGUAUAAGAAAUAUAGCUGUACUUUUAUUCUGUGGAAACUGAAGAACUUUGCUUCAAAUCACGCAAAACCAUGCAUCCAAACUCGUAGGAAUGUCCAUCACUUAGCACAUCCUUCAACUCAGUUCUUGGCCGGAGGGUGGUAGAUCGGAGUCGGGGACCCAUACGUGGGCGUGGGUGAACUGUAUUUAGGCGUUGGGGGGUGGUAUUCUGGCUGAGGUUUGGGCUCCGGCUUUGGCUUAGGAGGCACUGGUUUCUUGUGGAAGUGGUCAAAGAAGUGGUGGUGCUCAUGAUCCUUGUGGAAGUGGUCAAGCCAGUGCUUCUUGUUGAACAAGUCUUUAGCAGGAGGAUGGUAGAUUGGAGUAGGAGACCCAUAUGUAGGUGUUGGGGGGUGGUACUCUGGCUGCGGCUUGGGCUCUGGCUUCGGUGGAACAGGCUUCUUGUGGAAGUGGUCGAAGAGUUGGUGGUGGUCGUGGUCCUUGUGGAAGUGACCAAGCAACUUGGCAAACAAGUGCCUAGCUGGAGGGUGGUAGAUUGGUGUAGGAGACCCGUAUGUGGGUGUUGGCGACCCAUAUGUUGGCGUUGGGGGAUGGUACUCUGGCUGAGGCUUGGGCUCUGGUUUGGGCUGCGGCUUAGGUUCCGGCUUCGGCUUUGGCGGUAUGGGCUUCUUGUGGAAGUGGUCGAAGAAGUGGUGGUGAUCGUGGUCCUUGUGGAAGUGACCAAGCAACUUGGCAAACAAGUGCCUAGCUGGAGGGUGGUAGAUCGGUGUCGGAGACCCGUAUGUUGGUGUUGGGGGAUGGUACUCUGGCUGAGGCUUAGGCUCUGGCUUCGGCUGCGGCUUAGGUUCCGGCUUCGGCUUCGGCGGCAUGGGCUUCUUGUGGAAAUGGUCAAAGAAGUGGUGGUGGUCGUGGUUCUUAUGGAAGUGAUCAAACAAGUGCUUCUUGUCGAACAACUGCCUUGCUGGAGGAUGGUAGAUCGGAGUUGGGGAUCCAUAUGUGGGCAUUGGUGAUCCAUACGUCGGUGUUGGGGGGUGGUACUCUGGCUGCGGCUUGGGUUCAGGUUUCGGUUGCGGCUUAGGUUCGGGCUUCGGCUUCGGCGGUACGGGCUUCUUCUUGUGGAAGUGGUCGAGGAAGUGCUUCUUGAUAGGGCCGCAGAUGGUGACCGACGCGCAUUCUGCCGAUGGGUUGUUUGUCUUGCCAGGGACCACGACGAAGUCGCUCUCGGACUGCGGAACAAUCAUGGAAGGCUCCUGACCGGGGCACGGAGUGCCCGCCGCGCUGUGAAGCUGUGCAAGGCAGUCGGCGCCGUGGAGGUCGGUGGUGAGUGGAACGCUGAAGGCGCCAGAGCCAUCCAGCUGGCCGACGGCCUUGCUCUCGUAGUCGCCUUUACUGUUCUUGCACUUGAUCGCCACUUGAAGACCUGAAAUAAAUAAGGAAAAUACACAUUAGUACUAGUGAUCAG
rnacentral:lncRNA from 1 species